GUUGUCACAUUGCAUGCGCGCAAAAAGUGUUGCUUGAUUUUUCUGAGAAAAUGCCUCCCAAGAAGAGAAAAGCCCCUGCGAAAUCCAAGACAGAGGAUUCUCCGAAAAAGGUCAAAAAAGAGGAAUCCAAGGCCACUGACUGCGAUGGCAUCAUCCGCUUUGAAAUCUGCUCUUCUUGACGCGUAUUCAGGACGAGGGCUAACCAAAUUUUCACUAAUUUGUGUACCCUCUUGUCAGAUCUCAAGCUGGAGCAGGAAAUUGUUACUGGAGUUCGGGGUUCAUUUGAAAUUUUUGUGAGGAAAUCCAAAUCUGAUGGAAAAGGGGUGAAUGUGUGGACAGGUGUGAAAAAAGGCCCUCCCCGGAAGGAAAAAUUCCCCGAGGCAGAAAAUCUAGUUGCUGCCUUGGAGAAAGCCUUGAAGUAAUUACGGGUAUUUUUGGAGCUACUGGAGAUAUUCUACAUUGGACAAUCUCUAUCUGGGUGAUUCUUGUGACGAAUGAGGGGCAAAUUGCUACCCGGCAAGGCCCUCAAUCUGAAGGUUAAUCUACGGAAAAGUGGUGUUCAGAAAAUAUAUUCAGUAUAAUAAAAUAUUUUCCUAAUAAU